rnacentral:rRNA from 1 species
AGUUUAAGGAAAUAAUCUUAAAUGGAUUCUGCCCAGUGAUAUUUUUUAAAUGGCCGCAGUACCUUGACUGUGCUAAGGUAGCAUAAUCAAUUGGCUUCUAAUUAAAGUCUGGAAUGAAAGGAAGUAUGGAGUAAUUCUGUCUUAAAAGAUUUUUUUUGAAUUUAUUUAAAUGAUGAAAAUAUCAUUUUGUAGAAAAAAGACGAGAAGACCCUUAGAGUUUUUAUAUUUUUUAUAUUUUUGUUGGGGCGACAGGUAAACAAACAAACUUUACGAAUUAUUUAAAUCGAUUUUUUAAUAAGAAUAAUAAAACUACCUUAGGGAUAACAGCAUUAUAUUAUUUUAUGAUUGUGACCUCGAUGUUGGACUAGGAACUUUAUGGCUAGCCGUCAAAAAAGAUUUGUUCUGUUCGAACAAUUAUAUCCUAC